AACAGGUCCACAUAGGUCACCUUCAUAUUUUCCUCUACAGGCAACAUUGCAAAAGUAAAUACUGCAGAAGAAAGAAAGAAUUGCUUUGAGAAGGUCCAUCCAACCCACAUUUGGUCUUCAUCUUCAUGGUCAGAUACAGGCGACAAGUUCACGUCUACUUCAAGUGCAUGUUUCAGGUCUCCUCUUUUCAUCUUUCUCUUCCUUCCUGAAUUCUCCUGCAACACUGUCCAGGGCUUGAAUCCUGUGGCUGUGUCACAGCAUUUUGAAGACCCCCCUCAUUUGGCAAAUUUGGAAAGGGGGAGCAACGAGGAGGGCUUUCAGUGAACUCAAGCUAAAUGGAAGCUUUUAGGUCAGGGUGGAGAACCUGUAGCCCUUCGGACUCCACCUCCAUCCAACACGGCCAAAGGUCAGGGAUGAUGGGAGAUGUAGUCCAGCAGCAACUAAAGGGCUUGGGGUUCCCACCCAUCCUGAGAAAAACAUUAUCAUCCUUUUUUCUUUUUUUCAAGAAAAAUGUCCCCUGUCCUGUUUGGACUUCAAACGGGAUGCCUUUUUUCAUGUACUUGAGUUCCUCCUCCUCCUCCUCGUUCCUCCUAUCUCCAAACUGCACAGGCAGAGGGUGGGUUCAGUGGGAGGAAGAGAGCGAGAACCUGAGUGGGAGUUUGUGUGGGCAAAGGGUGGGUCCAUGAGAAGGAGAGCCAACAGUGAGAGUGAGAGCUGUCACGGGACAUGGGCAGAAGGUGGGAUGGCGCAAGGAGGCUGAGUUUGAGAGAGAGGGAGUUCCAUGUGGGCAGAGGGUGAGUCACCAAAAGACACAGGGAGGAAGUUUGCAGUGCGCAGUCCUGCUUCAGUGCCUGUGGAGAGAGAUUUCUUUUUGUGCUUGCAGGGCGGGUGGGGGUCGGAAUCAGAAAGCGAUUCCGAUACGUCUAUCGGAGCAAAACAUACUCUGUUGUAUUUCCAGCAGCUCCUUCCCCCUUCCCAUUUGCUUAUAAAUCUUGGUAUCACUUUGCUAGCAGCUAGUAAUCUAUUGGUUUUUAAAAUGCAAGCAUGCCCUGGCUGCAGGCGUUGCUCAAAAUGUGUAUGUUGCCCUUGUCCGCGUCCCUCACAGACGUCAGUGUGUGGUUGAAAUGGCUUCUGUUUAAUCUAGAUCCUCUGUGCCUAAUAACAGAAAAACACAGGUUCUGCUUUCAAAUAAGCUCUGGGUGGGUAUUGCUGGAUCCCCCAUUUGGCCAGCAAUAGGAUGUCCUUUUAAUAAAGAAGAGAAGAGAAAUAAUGGCUCUCCUGAGAGCAGUGAAAUGAAAACAUAAAAGUACUGGGAGCCUGAGAGGGUUGAAAACAACAUGUUUUAGUGGCUGAGUUCCAAAUUUUCAAAAUCAAAGUAAUUGUUUUGCCCCUUAGGAAGCUCUGUGAAAUGCAUCUAAUUGUCAAACACCAUUUCUAGCAAUUACGCCUUCAUUAUCUUCCCACACCUCAGGACAUCCAUGAGUUCAGCAAGUAAGAAGAGCGGGUCUCCAAAACCUGAUAUGCUUUCAGGCAGCCAAGGAAAAUUUAUUCAUGAUUUGGAGGUGGGGCGGGCAGAAUCAGAGCCUUCCUGGCCAAGCCGCAGGUAGAAACGGGACCAGGAUGUCAUCCCUUCAGUUUGGCAGGGGACGGUCUGCCUCUCUGUCAGGAACUUGAAAUAUCUCAGAGCAUCCUCUCCUUUUCUAUUGGGGUCCUGGCUUGGUGGUGGAGCAUCCAGUUUGCAUGCAGAAGGUACAAGCUUCAAUAACCUGCAUCUUCAGGUACGGCUGCAAAUGCCCCUGUCUGAAGCCCUGGAGAUGCAUAUUCAUCAGUGCAGACAAUGCUGAGCUAGAUUGACCCAUGCCCAGUAUUAAAAAUAUGUUGGUUUAUAUCAGGGGCAUAGCUUCAACUUUUCCCUUUUCUUGCGAGGAAUCCUGUUCGGAAUAAGGGAAUUUCCCUUAAAAAAAGGGAAACGUUGACAGCUAUGAUCAGGGGUCAGCAGACUUCUUCAGCAGGGGGCCGGUCCACUGCCCCUCAGACAUUGUGAGUGGGCCGGACUAUGUUUUUUUUUGGGGGGGGGGAUGAACAAAUUCCUAUGCCCCACAAAUAACUCAGAGUUGCAUUUUAAAUAAAAUCACACCACGCAAAACACCAGGCAGGCCCCCAAAUAACCCAGAGAUGCAUUUUAAAUCAAAGGACACAUUCUACUCAUAUGAAAGCACGCUGAUUCCCGAACCGUACGUGGGCCAGAUUUAGAAGGUGAUUGGGCCAGAUCCGGCCCCCGGGCCUUAGUUUGCCUACCCAUGAUUUAUAUGCACAGGUGCAAAUGUAAAAGCAACAGGCUCUAGCCAGCUGAAUUUACUCAGAGGGAAAUUCCCUGAAGACACUUUAGUUAGUUAUAUGUAUUCAUUCCAAUGGGCCUAUUCUUGAGUAGGACUAGCAGUGGAUAUGACCCAGCUACUGUAAUUUAAAUUGAAAUACAAUACAUCUCACCACUUUUCUGCCUGUUCAGUCUGCUGCCCAGGUGAUACUACCUGAGUUACUAGCCUCUGAAGGCUAGUUACCAGGAAUCACAAGUGGGGAGAGUGUUGUUAGACUCAGGCCCUGCUUUUGUGCUUCCCAUAGGUAUCUGGUUGUCCACUGUGAUACUGGAGAUAGGAUACUGGAAUAGGUAAAGGUAAAAGACCCCUGGACGGUUAAGUCCAGUCAAAGGCGACUAUGGGGUUGCGGCACUCAUCUCACUUUCAGGCCGACGGAGCCAGAAUUUAUCCACGGACAGCUUUCAAGGUCAGGUGGCCAGCAUGACUAAACUGCUUCUGGAGCAACGGAACACUGUGACAGAAACCAGAGCAGUGCACGGAAACGCUGUUUACCUUCCCGUCGCAGCAGUACCUAUUUAUCUACUUGUGCUGGUGUGCUUUCGAACUGUUAGGUUGGCAGGAGCAGAGACAGAGCAAUGGGAGCUAACCCCGUCACGGGGAUUCGAACCACCGACUUUCUGAUCGGCAAGCCCAAGAGGCUCAGUGGUUUAGACCACAGCACCACAGGUCAGAUGCAGCAAGGUUCUCAUUACAUUCUAAUGCUAGCUUUUCACAGGCAACCUUGAGGUCUUAGCUGCUCUCCUUUCUUAUGGGGCUGGUGGGGGUUUCUGCACAUGCCAACUGAAGACAACAAGCUUCAAGUAACUAGCUUCAAAGUCUUUUAAGAACCAAUAGAUUUCAGAUGAUCUUGUAGCAAAUUCAGCAUAUUGGCUGAAUUUGCUAUGGCUGUCAACAUUUUUAAAGCAGGCUACCUAAUAUUUAGGCUGAAUACUGGAUUUGAUUGCAAAUGAAGGCUGUGACGCACUUUCUCUCUUUCGCUCUCAUAUAGAGCAACACUUCCAACAAUUAUGAGCUUAUGUGCAUUUUUUUUCAAAAAAAGUAGUGAUUUAAGGGAUUAUAGCCUCGCUAAUUUGUACUGUACGUUAGCAAUUAACCGCAGUUUAAAGUGUAAUGUGUUAGUGUUGUAGGAGCCAUAAAUGGUUUUUUGCAGUUGAUUAGCUGUUGAAAUGAAGCUGAGCUGUUUGCUGCUCUCAGAAAGAGUCGCUUUGCAUACAGCUCACACUAAUUUUGCCUUGGUGUAUAUACAAUCACUUUUAAAAUCUGUUGGUUUCCAUGAGAGGAGGUAGAUAGAUAAACUUUGACAUACGCUCCCAAUGUUCAUAUUUACCAGGGAGGGUCCCUAUUUUCUUAUCUUUAUGCCUGGCAAAUCCUUGCUGCUAUUUGUCCUUAUUUAUGGCCUUUAGGAAUGCCUUAGUAAAAAUAAAAAGCCAUGGAGAAUUGCUAAAAAGGUAAAGGUAAAGGACCCCUGACAGUUAAGUCCAGUCAUGAACAACUCUGGGGUUGCAGCACUCAUCUCGCUUUACUGGCUGAGGGAGCCAACGUUUGUCCACAGGCAGUUUUUCUGGGUCAUGUGGGCAGCAUGACUAAGCCACAUCUGGUGAAACCAGAGCAGCGCACGGAAACACCGUUUACCUUCCCGGUGGAGUGGUACCUAUUUAUCUACUUGCACUUUGACGUGCUUUCGAACUGCUAGGUUGGCAGGAGCUGGGACCGAGCAAUGGGAUCUCACCCUGUCAUGGGGAUUCGAACUGCCAACCUUCCGAUCGGCAAGCCCAAGGCUUAGUGGUUUAGGCAGCUUAGAUGAGCACCUGGGGAUUGAUAGCAUGCUUGAGAAAGUGGCAGGGCUCUGCAGGUUAGCAUUGCCCCUGCCCCUGCCAUACAUUGUGGUUAUGCUUUCACCUUCUCUGGAUUGACUCGUGAGAGUGGCAAAAUGGAAAAGAGAUCAGGGCUCAUGCACCUAUAAUAAGAAGAGUUUGGAUUUGAUAUCCCGCUUUAUCACUGCCCGAAGGAGUCUCAAAGCGGCUAACAAUCUCCUUUCCCUUCCUCCCCCACAACAAACACUCUGUGAGGUGAGUGGGGCUGAGAGACUUCAGAGAAGUGUGACUAGCCCAAGGUCACCCAGCAGCUGGAAGUGGAGGAGCGGAGACGCGAACUCAGUUCACCAGAUUACGAGUCCACCGCUCUUAAUCACUACACCACACUGGCUCUAAUACGGUAUCCUUCUGGAGCAUCCAAAGGGGCUGGGAGUUGGGGAAAUUGUGCUUCAGUGCUUCUGUUCCUACCUUCAGGGCCGUUUCCAGAAAGUAGCCUUGGGAGGCUACUGUUUAGCACCAGAGGAGUUGCUGGCAUCUUGCAGGAUUCCAUCUUGUCCAACUUGCUAUUUAACAUCUGUUCGGAGCCUCGGGAAGCUGUCAUAAGGAGAUCUGAAGUGUCAUCAAUAUGCAAAUGACACCCAGCUCUAACUCUCAGUUGCAUCUGAAUCAGGAGAGGCGGUUGAGCUGUUAGACCAGUGCUAGGGGAUGGGUUGCAUGUGGGCCAAUAAACUGAAGCUGAAACCUGGAAGGACAGGGGUUUUCUGCUUCCUGAGUUCUCACGCCCAGGAGCUGGGGCUCCCUUCAGAUCACAUAUAACCCCUGUUUUCAAAAAGCUGCAUUGGUUGCCAGUUUGUUCCCAGACCCUGAGAAUUCUAGGGACCUCGAACAUUUUGACACAUGUAUAUUUAUCUUGCGUUUACAGUGGUACCUCGGGUUAAGUACUUAAUUCAUUCCGGAGGUCCGUUCUUAACCUGAAACUGUUCUUAACCUGAAGCACCACUUUAGCUAAUGGGGCCUCAUGCUGCUGCUGCGCUGCUGGAGCACAAUUUCUGUUCUCAUCCUGAAGCAAAGUUCUUAACCCGAGGUACUAUUUCUGGGUUAGCGGAGUCUGUAACCUGAAGCACAUGUAACCCGAGGUACCACUGUAUUUCAGUCUCUCUCUUUCCCCCCCCUUUUGGAAGCUCAGAAGAGCUGACCCAACUGACCCAGAUACUGCCUGGCUAAAAUAUUCUUAGCUUUUAAUGAAACCACCGCAUGAUUCCCCUUCUCUGAGCCAUUUGUAGUACACAAUAUGUGCAACCAUAACAUUUUAUGAAGGCUGUUCUUUUCUUUUUAUGUAAAUUCACCUAUACCUUCCCUGGCCCUCUAUUUCUGACUUCACUCCAUGGCAUUUUUUGUUGUGUGUUUAUAUGGAUUCAGCCAAUAAACCAGCUUAAGGAGUGACCAUCAAUUCUUUUUAUUUCCAUAUUUCAUCUCCAAAUGUUCAUUUAUGAUGAGCAAUUCCUUUUAGGAGCAAAAGCAAAUGAACGUGCCAGUAUUUGACCUCGAGCCAAAAGCUCCUUCGGUUUCUACAGCUUUAAUAAAAAUGAUCUCUAAUGAUUGCAGUGAGAUGAGGGGGCGUCGAAAUUAAUAUUUUUGAAAUUCUUCCCAGGAAGAAUGUCUUUAAAAAAGACAACAACGAAAAAGAAUGAAUCCAAAUGUGCUUUUCUACAGGAUAGCUAUAUCUUUGCCUGAAAUGUCUAAGACUGCAGUAAAGCAUUUUUAACCCCAAUCAUGGAGAACUAUCUACAUGGAGCUGAAUUUUUGCAAGUUUUGAUUUUUUGUGUUGAACUGUGCAUGUUGAACUGUGUUAAGCACAUAGGUUAGUCUUGUGUCCAUCUUUUUUUUCUUGCCCUGUUUAUAGCAGUCUCUGAGAGAGUCUAAUCAGGGUCAGAACCAUGGUCAGAUGGGGGUUAACUCUUUCUUCCUGUCCUGCAAUUCUGAUAUCUGCUCCUCCCCCAAAACUGCAGUUUGGCUUGAGAGAGAAGCUCCUGCUGUCAGGAUAGUGGCAUGGAAGGAGUUGACCCCCCACCCAACUCCCUGGGCACCAUAGCACCAGUCUUGACCAGGAGACCCGAAAAGCUGCUAUUUAGUGUUUUAAAAGUGUACAUUUGACAUGAAACCAUGGUCAGAAUCCUGCUAAGUAGACCUGCUGCUCAAAGGACUUUUUCAUGUACAAAGGAGCUUCCCCUUCUUCACCUCUCCCCCCCCCCACUGCACUCCUCAUGCCCCCUUAAAUCUGUUCUGGGGUUUCUUGUGAGGAAAUGAGCUCCCUGACUUUGUCUGAUCACCCAUAAAAACAUAUGAAAAGCCCUGCUGAGUCCAUCUACCAUCCUCUUUCUCACACCAGCCAACCAAGUUAAUCCACAAUUUACAGGCAAGAGGGAAGGAUGCAUACCAGUGAGUGUGAACUGAUGAGCAUGAAUGUGUAGUUGCAGUAUUAAAAUGGCAGUAUGUGUGUCUGUGUUAUUGGCCCUGCCACCUGCCCAGGGCAGCCUUGCCCACCAACCACUGCCAUCCCCAGAACUUUGCGAAAUUCCCACCUACUGCCACAUAUUGUCACUUUUAGACCAAGCUACUCCAAAGCAGUUCAGGAGGUGUGUGUUUUUGACUCAAUUUGGAUUCUGAAAAGUUUGUUUCCUAAAAUUCCCUAUUUGGGGUAGGGGAAUUGCUAUAGCAUUUUUUUGCUUUUCACAGAAAUGGAUGAAAUUUGCAGUCAUACUAGUUCCUCCAGAGUGAAUAAAGCUUUUCAAAUUACAGUGGUACCUCGGGUUAAGUACUUAAUUUGUUCCGGAGGUCUGUUCUUAACCUGAAACUGUUCUUAACCUGAAGCACCACAUUAGCUAAUGGGGCCUCCUGCUGCUGCCGCGCUGCCGGAGCACGAUUUUUGUUCUCAUCCUGAAGCAAAGUUCUUAACCCGAGGUACUAUUUCUGGGUUAGCGGAGUCUGUAACCUGAAGCGUAUGUAACCUGAAGCAUAUGUAACCUGAGGUACCACUGUACAGGAAAAUAGAUCCAUGCAUUUUUGUACUUGGUUCAUACAAAGUUUUAUUUAUUUAAAAGAUGUGUCAUUCACAGCUUUUUAAAAGUAAACAUGUUGGCAGAAUGAUGUGAAAUUUACAAGCAUGAUCACUUCUUUUGUACAGACAAAUCCAGAGCAAUUUUGGAUGAUGAUGAUAAUAAUAAUAAUAAUAAUAAUAAUAAUAAUAAUAUUAAUAAUAAUAAUAAUAUUUAUUUAUUUAUACCCUGCCCUCCCCGGCCAGAGCCAGGCUCAGGUCGGCUAACACCAGUAAAAUUACAAUAAAAAAAUAAAAAAUAAAAAACCAAUUUAAAAUACAGGUUAAAAAUACAAUUUAAAAUGCAGCCUCAUUUUAAUAAUAGCCCAUAGAUCAAAACCAUAAGGGGAGGGAAACAUAAGGGUCAGACUGAGUCCAAACCAAAGGCCAGGCGGAACAGCUCUGUCUUGCAGGCCCUGCGGAAAGAUGUCAAGUCCCGCAGGGCCCUACUCUCUUGUGACAGAGAGUUCCACCAAGUUGGGGCCAGUACUGAAAAGGCCCUGGCCCUAGUUGAGACCAAUCUAACCACCUUGCGACUUGGGACCUCCAAGGUGUUGUCAUUUGUGGACCUAAAGGUCCUCCAUGGGGCAUACCAGGAGAGGCAGCCCUGUAGGUACGUGGGUCCUAGGAUGGAUAGCUUCAGUGGCUUUUCUGCAAAGAUGGUCUUUACAUUGUUGUUGGUGUGUGUGUGUACAUAUAUAAAAUUUAAAAAGUUCUACAUCCCAUCCUGUAGUUUUUUGAGCAAUUGUUGUUAUUAUUAAAAUUGUGAACAUUGUAGAGGUGCCCCUAGUGUCAUGGGAGGGGGAUUUUGCCCAGUGGCACGGGGCCCAGAAAAUGAGGGGGACAGAUUUGUGUCUCUCCCAUCAGGGAAAUGCUAAUUCAUUUCUUCUCAUCAUAGACUUUGCAACCUCCUUAAAGCAGGGACAGGGAACCUGCAGCCUUCCAGUCUCCAGCUCUCACCAACUUCAACCAUGGGCCAAGGUUGCCUGGGGUCCAACAACAUCUGGAGGGCCACAGGUUCACCAUACCUGCUUUAGAGCUUCUAGCAAAAUGAUACAGAGCCAGUGUGGUGUAGUGGUUAAGAACGGUAGUCUCGUAAUCUGGUGAACCGGGUUCGUGUCUCCGCUCCUCCACAUCCAGCUGCUGGGUGACCUUGGGCCAGUCACACUUCUUUGAAGUCUCUCAGCCCCACUCACCUCACAGAGGGUUUGUUGUGGGGGAGGAAGGGAAAGGAGAAUGUUAGCCGCCUUGAGACUCCUUCAGGUAGUGAUAAAGCGGGAUAUCAAAUACAAAGUCUUCUUCUUCUACAGUGGUACCUCGGGUUACAUACGCUUCAGGUUACAUAUGCUUCAGGUUACAUACGCUUCAGGUUACAGACUCCGCUAACCCAGAAAUAUUACCUCGGGUUAAGAACUUUGCUUCAGGGUGAGAACAGAAAUCAUGCUCCGGCGGUGCGGCAGCAGCAGCAGGAGGCCCCAUUAGCUAAAGUGGUGCUUCAGGUUAUGAACAGUUUCAGGUUAAGAACGGAGCUCUGGAACGAAUUAAGUACUUAACCCGAGGUACCACUGUAUUUAUAUCAGCCUUGCCCCACAACAACUCAUGCAGUGAUCUGCUUAAAAUGGAGCAAUACGUGGGAUAUAAUAAACAAAUGAUAAUAAUAAUAAUAAAAUAAAUCUCUCCUACCGUGGAUCAGUCAGGAGCCUCGUCAACCUUGAGCAGAGCUGGCUGGCUCCCAACUGUGUCAGAAUGGGCAAGUUUUAUAUUAUUAUUUAUUUAUUGCAUUUUUAGCCCACAUUUCCUCCAAGUGGGGUUCCUAAUCUCACUCCUCCCUUCAGAUCUUGCUAUAGGAUUAUGCCCUGAAUUUCACUCAGAUGUGACUUGUUCCUGCAUCCUCCUCUCUUCCCUUUUUCUUUCAUGCAGCUCAUCUAUCUCUCUGGAGGAGUUGGGGAGGGGGCAUGGCAGGGAAUAAUAAUAAUAAUAAUAAUAAUAAUAAUAAUAAUAAUAAUAAUAAUUUAUUUAUUUAUACCCUGCCCUCCCCGGCCAGAGCCAGGCUCAGGUAGGCUAACAACAAUCAAAAUAAUCCAACGUUCUAAAAACAUUUCAUUAUAAAAAAUAAUUAAAAUCAAAUUGGUGGCAACCAUUAAGCAAAAAUCUGUGCAGAUUGCCAGAGGAGGGGGUCAGGCCGCGCCCUGACCAAAGGCCUGGUGGAGCAGCUCUGUCUUGCAGGCCCUGCGGAAAGAUGUCAGGUCCCACAGGGCCCUAGUCUCUUGUGACAGAGCGUUCCACCAGAUUGGAGCUGCGGCCGAGAAAGCCCUGGCUCUAGUUGAGGCCAGCCUAACCUCUCUGUGGCCUGGGAUCUUCAGGAUGUUUUUAUUUGCAGACCGUAAGUUCCUCUGUGGGACAUACCAGGAGAGGCGGUCCCGUAGGUACGAGGGUCCUAGGCUGUAUAGGGCUUUAAAGGUUAAAACAAGCACCUUAAACCUGAUCCUGUACUCCACCGGGAGCCAGUGCAGUUGGUAUAGUACCGGAUGAAUGUGAUCACGCAGUGAAGACCCCAUAAGGAGUCUCGCCGCGGCAUUCUGCACCCGCUGGAGUUUCUGGGUCAGGAAGAGUUAAGAGGGAAAUGUGAGGUUUCAAGCAAGAGUUUUGUUGACAUUAAAAAUUCUUUUUUUUUUUCUCACAGAGAUCAAUCAAAUGAUCCCCAUCCUUUUAUCAGGAGGGAUAUCUGUGGAAGCCAGUUUGCAGAGCAAUUCACAGAACAUCUGUAGAAUGCUGUCAAAUAGCUCUGGGCAAUUAGAGUGCCCGGCCGAACAGAAUUAAUUAGCAUUACCAGCUUGAGUAGUUUAGAGUAAUUGGCUAGGUCCCUCUGGUGAAAUGGAAACAGGCUUGGAAGCGCUAAGGCCCGAGUCUCAUCUGCAUAGCAGGAGCCCAUUUCCGAAAGGUACAUUAGGUAGACCUGAGAGAACGAUGGUUAGUUGAAGGAUAUGGGAGAAAGCUUUAAAUGGGGAGGGGCGGUGGUCUUUUUUGACCCUGCUAUCCAUGUCCAUUCUGAACCAGUAACUUGGGCAAGCCAGGAGAACAGCCAUGGAUGUUCUAGAAUUUAGAAUUCAUUGAGCAAAGGGUGUGGCUUGGUGGUAGAGUACCUAGGUGCCUUGCAUGCAGAAGGUCCAUGGUUUAAUCCCCAGCUUCUCUAGCUAGGCUUGGGAGAGACCCACACCCCUUCCUUGAGGUGCAGACAAGACUGAGCUAGAUUGACUAAUGGUCUGACUUGGUAUAAGGAAGCUUUCUAUGUUCCUACAAUUGAAAGUAACCAGAUGAGCUGAUGACCAACAAUGGAAGGGUUCACAAGAAGAAGAAGAAGAAGAGUUUGGAUUUGAUAUCCCGCCUUUCACUCCCUUUAAGGAGUCUCAAAGCGGCUAACAAUCUCCUUUCCCUUCCUCCCCCACAACAAACACUCUGUGAGGUGAGUGGGGCUGAGAGACUUCAGAGAAGUGUGACUGGCCCAAGGUCACCCAGCAGCUGCAUGUGGAGGAGCGUAGACGCGAACCCGGUUCCCCAGAUUAUGAGUCUACCGCUCUUAACCACUACACCACACUGGCUCUCAGCCCAAAAGGGUCUUGCUUCUCCCAUAACCAGUCCUGGAUUCAGACAUCAGACAUCCUGCUCUGCCUGCUCCUUUGCUCCUCUAUCACAUAACUCCUAAGCUUCUAGCUCACAUUGCCUCUAACUCUACUCUAAACUCUAGCCCUUUAUCUAUUGAGGGAGUACACUCACCUCUUUGCUGUCUGGCAAAGUUCUUUGAUCCUCUGUUGUCUGGCUCAUCUCCCAGGCUUAAUUAGUUUUUUACACUUGUUGAUUCCAAAGGAUUAGAAGUGACUAGCAUGCAGCUUAAUACACACUGUUCUGGCACCCAGUUUUAACACCCCGAGCCUUAAUUAAAUUCUAACACUUGCUUGAUCCAGAGAUUAUAGUAGUCUAGCACCCACAAACUCAUAAUAAUACAUAUUGAAAUAUAUAUUUAUGAUAGAAUGCUAUUUAAAUACAAAGUUAAAAAUUGCAUACAGAAAAGAAACACAGAUUACUGCAGAAAGGGGACAGUGUCAUAGAACAGACUUAUGAGUGAAUGUGCAGUUUUCAGUGUGAAUGUGACUAUUCUAGAGCAUUCCCUUGACAUUUUGGCAGAUGUUUUAGUUGCUUCUAACAAAACCAGCCAAAGAAAGAAAAUGUGAAAUUGGCAGGAGCCUGAUACAGACUCAUCUGUCCAUCCCUUAUUUUAAAACUGAUGUUGGAUUUGGCAUUCAUCACUACUGCAUCAGCUCCACAGCAAAAGGAUCCAGUUCUCUCCUGCUAGAAGUGAUAACGGUUGUUCAGCUUUUCUCAAAGAAGGAGAAAAAAAGAUCGAGCCACAUUUAGGGAAAGGAGGAGGAGGAGGAGAGCAGCUCUCUCCAAAGCAUUUCACUCUGUCCACCUGAAGAAAAUCUCAGGCAAGACAAGAAUUUGAGAAAAAUAAUAAUUUUGGAGGCGAUAGAUGUUCCUGUUCACUGUGGUCCUGAUUACAGUUGCUGAUUAAAGGAGAAACCAUCACACCGUUGUCAGUAUGAUAUAUACUUAUGCAGGAAAACCACUGCAACAGGGCAUUAAUUAAUGUCUCAUUAGUGUCAAAAACAAUUGCUUUUUCUCCCCCCUUCCAUUUUUCAGGAGUCUGUAAUCUUUGCUGUAAUGAACAGGAACAACACUUUAAAGUGCUGCAGGGAUUGUGACAGUAACUCCUGUGAAAAUAAUAAACAGAAUGUGUUAACCUCUUUCGAGGGCAUUCAGAGUAAACAGGCUUUCAUUGUUGUUAAUGGAUCUCAAGGAGGCUUUGUGAGCGGUAAUGGAUCAGGCCUAAGUCUUGGGGCACAUUUGCAGCAGAUCCAUCCAUAUUCUACCAUGAUGGGUGUAGCGCAGAGGUUUUCAACUUUUUUGAGUCCACGGCUCCCUUGAUCAAAUACCUUCUUUCUGUGGCACUCCUGUGAGGCCCAGGAGCCCAGUUAUGUCACCUCUUGCCUGUAGCUGGCAGCCUCUCACCCCUUUUCGAACACCCUCCUUUGUGAAGUGUUCCCUUAGCCUCCUCUCCUUGAGAGUCCUCUGGACAGCUGCUGCUGCUGUCCCUGGUCUCUGAGCUGCCCCCCUGGUCACCCCAGAGAGAGGGGCCUCCUCACACUGCCCCACAGGUACCUGAGAGGCACCCUCUGGCCAGCCCCAGAGGCACAAUUCGCCUGGGGAGCUUGUAGCCAGGGCUGCUGCAACAAACAGCUGUGCAAGCCUUUGGGAGGGCAGACACCCCAGAGGGCAUCAGAGGAGGGAGGGAAGGAUAGAAGGACAGAGGCCAGUGUUGCCCAGAGCACCCCUGGCAAUCAUUCAGUGCAUCCCAGCAUGCCAUGGCACACUGGUUGAAAACUGCUGGUGUAGUGGAUCCCACUGUUUGUUGUUGUUGUUUAGUCGUUUAGUCGUGUCCGACUCUUCAUGACCCCAUGGACCAGAGCACACUCACUGUUAACUGGCCCCAAUUAAACCUAUAGUGAACCUACUGCGCGGUAAGGUAAAGGUAAAGGUAAAGGGACCCCUGACCGUUAGGUCCAGUCAUGGCCGACUCUGGGGUUGCGGCGCUCAACUCGCUUUAUUGGCCAAGGGAGCUGGUGUACAGCUUCCGGGUCAUGUGGCCAGCAUGACUAAGCCGCUUCUGGCGAACCAGAGCAGUGCACGGAAAUGCCGUUUACCUUCCCGCCGGAGCGGUACCUAUUUAUCUACUUGCACUUUGACGUGCUUUCGAACUGCUAGGUUGGCAGAAGCAGGGACCGAGCAAUGGCAACUCACCCCAUCAUGGGGAUUCGAACUGCCGACCUUCAGAUCAGCAAGUCCUAGGCUCUGUGGUUUAACCCACAGGGCCACCCGCGUCCCUACUGCACGGUACGCCACCUAAUUAAAUUUAUAAAUUACCACGGGUUAUCUUUGGGAUCUUGUGUGUGGGAAAACCUAGUGAUUUGUAAUCUUAGGCAGAAGCUGAACAAAUAAGAAAGGUUUUAUCUGCCAAACAAAGUUGGUAAAACAAAGAUGGGUUAGGAGUUGUGUUCUUUCAGGAAACACAAAUUAAUUUAAUUACACUAAAUCUGAAGAUGUCACAUGUUUCACUGAACACAGUUACAAGCUGUCUCUACACCUGUCUGAGUGUUGGUGUGAAAGAGUAUACACUUGUUGAAUUUGCAAAGCUCCUCUCUUGUGUACACAGACGGUACACUCACUGAACACCACAUAUGAACAACUCAGUGUAACAUGUAAGCAUUCCCCAUAUUGAGUGUUUGCUUCAUCACAUCCUGAGGCCACAAAACCAACAACAUUAAAGGCUUGUCCACAAUUUGUUUGCCAUGUACCUAGAAAGCAUGGAGCCAAGAGGCUUUCUUCUGGUCUUGGAAUUUCUUGGCACGGGUUCAAGCAGUUUCCCGCUUUGUCUGGGAAAACCUGCCUGCUCUUUACCACUUAACUGGAGCAAACAUCAAUCCAUGGAAAACCCAGCUGAAGUUUGCUCCAAUUCAGUAGUAGAUAUUGGGUUUCCUUAGGGGCAAACAGCAAGACGAGAGGAAGUAUGGAAGAGCCCUAAAUGCAACUGCAAAAGGCAAUGGUGGUAUAAGACUUUGGUUUCAACAUUUCUUCCUCUGCCCCUUAAACGUUCUGAGAUUAAGAUAAACGCGUUGGCUUAUGCUUAAUAAAUGCAGCACUGUUAUGGAGUUGUUUGUUUAUAUAUAUAUAAACCUAAAUUUAUGUUGCUGCUUUGCCCAGUUGACUAAGAGUUUGCAACUGUAUAUCACCGAUAGAUUUUUACAGCGUAAUUCAAUUGCCACAUCAUUAUAAUCUUUAUAUCAGGAAGCAUAAUUCCUGGCGCCUUGGCUUCAUCAUCGACUAAAGUAUAAAUAAUCAGGAGCUCUAAUGGCUUUGGCUAGCAUUUGAACCUGUGAUGCAUUGUAGCAGAUUAUACAAUAAAAAAUAAAUUGACUUUUUAUUCUGUUUCAUUUGGACACCUCCCAUUUGGGCUGGAGGAGGGGGGUCUAUUUUAUACGCUGCAUGGAUUUCCAAGCUUCGCUGGCAACCAUUUAAAGGGUUGGGGGCCUUCCUAUCUUUCCCCCUCCCCUGCUUUAGUUCCAUUACAUCUUAUGCCUCACCAACACAAUCUCUCCGAAAUAUGCAGCUGGCAUUUUGGCGGCUUUUUUGGGGGGGGGGGAGCUCCUGUACCAUCUCCCUUCUAGGUUUCCAGCUUUCUUCAUUUCUUCCCAGCACAAACCUUUCGAUAAAGCAAUAAUAGACAUUUGCUGCAAUCACGAGAAGCUAUAAAAUAUUAAAUGUCUAAGCCAUGCGCUAAGGGGGCAGAAGGGCCACUUUGAUUCAGAUAGUGGUGGAAAAAUAGCUGCAGGAUUAUAUCCCAAUCUUCUGAUAUGAGGCUUUGCUCUGAUGCGAGUGGGGUGCUCCAGUCUGCAUGAUGCUGCCUUCCUGUACCGGUAGCCUUCAGGCUGUAGACUGCAGUAAUGAGAUCUACAUGGGGCUGCUUUGGAGGAUAGUUUGAAAAGAACAGCAUUUAGGGUAGGAUGUGGCUGCAGUAUUAUUAACUUUUGCUGUCACUAGAGGCCAAUGUGGACAAUGUGGACAAGGGUGCUUUCUGCCCUUGAAGCUGACCCAGAAACUCCAGCAGGUGCAGAAUGCCGCGGCGAGAGCUGUUCCGCCUGGCCUUUGGUUUGGACUCAGUCUGACCCUUCUGUUUCCCUCCCCUUAUGGUUUUGAUCUAUGGGCUACUAUUAAAAUGAGGCUGAAUUUUAAAUUGUAUUUUUAACCUGUAUUUUAAAUUGUCCCCCCGCCCCAUUAUGUUUUUAUUGUAAUUUUACUGGUGCUAGCUGCCCUGAGCCCAGCUCUGGCAGGGGAGGGCAGGGUAUAAAUAAAAAAUUAUUAUUAUUAUUAUUAUUAUUAUUAUUAUUAUUAUUAUUACCAGCUCCACCUGGUAUGCCAGUUGUGGCUGUUCCUGGACCAUAACAGCCUGUCCUCAAUUUUCCUUAAAGGGUGAUUUAUUUAUUUUUGUACACUGGCUUUGAGCGGUACUGUUGUACAGUGGUUAGAGGAGUGUUGGACUCCCGACCUGGGAGACCAAGGUGGGUUCAAAUCUCCUCUUGGCCAUGAAUCUGACUUGGUAAUCUUGGGCUGGUCCUUGAGCUCCUUCAAGGAAAGGUGAGGUUUGAUUUAAUGAAAUGAUAAUAAUAAUUCUACAAAAAACCACCACGUUGGGUUAUAUCCAAUACUAGUCUUGCUCAUAGUAGACCCGUUGACAUUGAUGGACAGGACUAACUUAGGUUCAUUAAUUUCAAUAGAACUCCGAGUAGAAUUUAGUUAGACACAAUACAGUGUGCAGCUCUGAUCUCCCCACUUCAAGAAGGAUUUUGUAGAGUUGGAAAGGUUUUGGAAAAGGGCAGCUACAAUGAUCAAGGCAGUGGAACGACUUCACUAUGAGGAAAGGUGGCAGCAUUUGAGGGGGUUUUUGGUUUAGAGAAAAGGCGAGGGAGAGGUGACAUGAUAGAAGUUUAUGAAAUUAUAAUGGUAUGGAGAAAGUGAAGAGAGAAAAGUUUUUCUCCUACUCGCAUAACACUAGAACUCAGGGACAUGCAAGAAAGCUGAAUGUUAGAAGAAUUGUGACAGAUAAAGGAAAGUCCUUCUUUACAUAAAGGUAAAGGGACCCCUGACCAUUAGGUCCAGUCAUGGCCGACUCUGGGGUUGCGGCGCUCAUCUCGCUUUAUUGGCCGAGAGAGCUGGCGUACAGCUUCCGGGUCAUGUGGCCAGCAUGACUAAGCCGCUUCUGGCGAACCAGAGCAGCACACGGAAAUGCCUUUUACCUUCCCGCUGGAGCGGUACCUAUUUACCUACUUGCACUUUGACGUGCUUUCGAACGGCUAGGUUGGCAGGAGCAGGGGCCGAGCAAUGGGAGCUCACCCCAUCGCGGGGAUUCGAACCGCCGACCUUCUGAUCGGCAAGUCCUAGGCUCUGUGGUUUAACCCACAGCACCACCCGCGUCCCUUCCUUCUUUACAUAACACAUAGUUAAACUAUUGAAUUCACUCCCACAGGAGGCAAUGAUGGCCACCAACAUGGAUGGUUUCAAAAGAGGAUGAGGCACAUCCAUGGAAGACAAGGCUAUUACAGUGGUACCUCAGGUUAAAUACGCUUCAGGUUACAGACUCCGCUAACCCAGAAAUAGUGCUUCAGGUUAAGAACUUUGCUUCAGGAUAAGAACAGAAAUCGUGCUCUGGUGGCGCGGUGGCAGCAGGAGGCCCCAUUAGCUAAAGUGGUGCUUCAGGUUAAGAACAGUUUCAGGUUAAGAAUGGACCUCUGGAACGAAUUAAGUACUUAACCCGAGGUACCACUGUAAUAGAUACUAGCCACAAUAGCUAUGGUCUGCCUCCAUCACCCAUGGCAGUAAUGCAACUGAAAAUCAGUUUCUGGGAACCAUAGAAAGAGAGAGUCCUCUUGGGCUCAGGUGCUGUGUGUUGGUUUUCAGCAGGCAUGUGGGUGACCCUUAUGAGAACAGGAUACAGGAUGCUGGAUUAGACAGGUCAUUGGUCUCAUCCAGCAGGCUCUACUUAUGUUCUGUUCUCAACCCACAGAUCCUGCUGGUACCACAGAUAUUUGGCGGGGAGGGACGGACCUGAAUGGACACACCACACGUCCAUCUCAGAAUUUCUCUCUUUCUCUUCCCAUUGUAUCACUUUGUGGGAGUCCCUGUAGUCAUUUAAACAGCUCUUUACCGGGUGGUAAUUGUGAGGAUGAGUUAUUACACAAUGAAAUUGCAUUGCCUAAUUGUACAUGGGGUGUAGAACGCUUAGCAAAACCUGUCACACUGUGUACCAAACUGCUUCCUGAUGUAAUUAUAGCCAGGCUCUUGACAAAAGCCACUUCCCCCCCUGCUACCUUCCUAUUGUUCUCCCCUUUUCUUACAGUAUUUUGUGUCUCACAGUGACUGGUAAUUCCCUCCCCACCCCCCUCUGAUUGUGUAGUCCUUAUAGCUCAUCAACACUCUUGAAGCAACAACUGGCUUUCUUCUUCUUGAAUUCUCUUUCUUCCCCUCUCCCCCCUCCCACCUCUCAUUCUCAAUUUCUUCUUUUCUCCCAUUUUAACUAAACCAACCAGCUGGUAUUCAAGCUCUGUGUCUGAAUUUUUCAUUAGCAAUGUCAAAGUCGCCGUUUGAAAUAUGAACCAUGGUAAUUUGCCUUCAAUAUGAGGUGAGGAUUAUGGACCCACAAAUUAUUUUCUAUCUUUGAAUUUAAUCCAAACUGGAGAACUCCAUCCAAACCCACCCACCCAACAGAUGGCAGCAAUUCUGGUUGUUGUGGUGGCAGUGAGAAGUGAGGGAAAUCUCUGAUUCUAUCUCUCUCUUACAACCACAUAUAAUAAUAAUAAUACAGUGGUACCUCGGGUUAAGAACUUAAUUCGUUCUGGAGGUCUGUUCUUAACCUGAAACUGUUCUUAACCUGAAGCACCACUUUAUCUAAUGGGGCCUCCUGCUGCUGCCGCCGCACUGCCAAAGCACAAUUUCUGUUCUCAUCCUGAAGCAAAGUUCUUAACCCGAGGUAAUAUUUCUGUGUUAGUGGAGUCUGUAACCUGAAGCGUAUGUAACCUGAAGCGUAUGUAACCCAAGGUACCACUGUAAUAAUAAUAAUAAUAAUAAUAAUAAUAAUAAUAAUAAUAAUUUAUUUAUACCCCGUCCAUCUGACUGGGCUUCCCCAGCCACUCUGGGUGGCUUCCAACAAAAUAUUAAAAUACUGUAAUGCAUCAAACAUUAAAAGCUUCCCUAAAGAGGGCUGCCUUCAGAUGUCUUCUAAAAGUCUGGUAGUUGUUCUUACACACGGAGACAUACUGCAACAUUGCUGCAGUAGCAUUCCAGAUAUUUUUUAUCACGUUCCUAAUGAUAGUGUAGAUUUUAAAGGUGUCCUGGGAAAUUUUUGUUUCCCAGGGCUCCUGCUGUUUGGGAUACUACUACUAGAGCAGCAUUCAUUCCAGGCACCAGGGAGUGGUAGGAGGAGGGCGAGGCAGGGAAAGAGAGAGGGUUGGCGAGAGAAAGAGAUCUCCUUCCUUCCGCUGCUACCACUGAUGGAGGAAGAGGCAGAGGGGAUGAAUUGUGCAACCUGGAUCGAAGGGGCGGGGGGAACUUUCCUUUUCACGCUGACUUCAGUUGGUUUGUAAGGGGGAGCAGGGAUGUCAGAUUUCUGCCCUGACCCUUCUGUGGAGCAGAGAGCCUCAGCUGGGACUGCCAAGCAUUUUGAUCAUCCUGAAGGAGUGUCUCCACCCCCAUCGUUCUGCCCAGAUGCUGAGGUCCAGUGCCAAGGGCCUUCUGGUGGUUCCCUCAUUGUGAGAAGCAAAGCUACAGGGAACCAGGCAGAGGGCCUUCUCAGUAGUGGCUCCUGCCCUGUGGAACGCCCUCCCAUCAGAUGUCAAAGCGAUAAACAACUACCUGACAUUCAGAAGACAUCUUAAGGCAGCCCUGUUCAGGGAAGUUUUUAAUGUGUGACAUUUUAGUAUAUUUUUGGUCUCUGUGGAAGCCGCCCAGAGUGGCUGGGGAAACCCAGCCAGAUGGGCGGGGUACAAAUAAAUUAUUAUUAUUAUUAUUAUUAUUAUUAUUAUUACAGUGGUGCCUCGCAAGACGAAAAUAAUUCGUUCCGCGAGUCUUUUCGUCUUGCGAUGUUUUUCGUCUUGCGAAGCACGGUCCGUCGCAACUGCGCCUCUUCAAGCGGCUUUAAGAAAAAAGCGCAAGACGUUUUCGUCUUGCAAAGCAAGCCCAUAGGGAAAUUCGUCUAGCGAAGCAACGCAAAACCGAAAAACCCUUUCGUCUUGCGAGUUUUUCGUCUUGCGAGGCAUUCGUCUUGCAGGGCACCACUGUAUUAUUAUUAUUGGAAGAGGCUGAACAAAGUGUUCAAAACACAAGUGGAAAACAUGAUGCAGCUGCUGCUACUUAGGUGUCACCUGUGUUUUCAGUUUCUAAAAGAGCUCUACCAGCCACUCACAAAUUUCUCCAUGUAUACAGCACUAGGUAAGGAUGGGUGAAUAUGUCAGUUUUGAUUUCUCUCUGUUUCCUCAUCUUUCUACCUUUCAGUUCUCCACAUUUCCACAUCUGUUGAUUUGUAAAAAGAGAAAUCUUCAUUCAAAUUUAUUAGUUUUCCAGUGAAAUUUCUCAGAUUUUUUUCCUAUGCAGUUUUCCCUAAUAUACACAUUUUGGAAAGCAAUUUCCCCUAAUACAAUGCAUUACUACUAAUAUAUGACCCUCUAUGCACACUUAACCCUGGUAUAUUUUUGCACACAUUCAAUGACUGGAGAACUUCAUUACAAAAUUCAGAGAAGUGCAAAUUUUUAGAAGGGGCUGCCUUUCAGUUUGUGUAAAGUAUUGUAAUUUAUUCCCCAACCCCAGCACCAGGUGAAACUCACUUCAGAAAAUGCAAACCAGUCUAGAAUCAUCAGCAGUUGCUUCCUUGGAAUAAUUUGAUGGUCCAGACUCUCUCCUAAGCCAAUGUCUUCUAUUUCCAUACCUUUGAUCAGAGAAGGCGGCUCAGGCCCUUGAUUUCUUGCAAAGAUACUUGUGUCACUAAGUAUUACUCACAUGCAAGACUUACUUUCUUCAAGCAACACCAAACCUCUGGAGCUUGCUUUCAUCAACCUUAUGAUCAAACAAGUUCAAGCCGUCUACUAGACAAGCACAUAGCUUUCCUGUUUCACAAGUCAUUUGCCUUAUAUGAAUUCAAGAUGCCCAUGAAAAGAGCAGUGGAAAUUGUAGGGAAACUAGUGAUAAGAGAAAAGGCCAGACAGGGAAUAAGAUCUGCCAAACGGCAGAACACAAGAGCUUGGCUGGAUCUGUCCUAUGGGCCAUUUAGUCCAGCAUCCGGUUCUCACUGUGGCCAACCUAUGGGAAGCCACAAAGCAGGUCCUAAGUGCAACAGCAUUCUUCUUACUUGUGAUUCCUGGCAACUGGUAAUCAGAGGCAUAUUGCAUCCGACAGCGGGGGGAAGUGAGAAAGAGACAGAAACUGAAUUUGCCCAUCCCUACCACUGCCAAUCACAGAAGACAAUACUGUGCUGGAUAGACAAAUUAUCUGGCCUGGUAUAAAGCAAUUUCCAGUAAGUUUGUACGCUGGGCUUAUUUAUUUUAUUCUACAGUGGUACCUUGGGUUACAGAUGCUUCAGGCUACAGACGCUUCAAGUAACAGACUCUGCUAACCCAGAAAUAGUACCUCAAGUUAAGAACUUUGCUUCAGGAUGAGAACAGAAAUUGCACCGCGGCAGUGGAAGGCCCCAUUAGCUAAAGUGGUACCUCAGGUUAAGAACAGUUUCAGGUAAAGAACGGACCUCCAGAACGAAUUAAGUUCUUAACCCGAGGUACCACUGUAUUAAUUUACUUAAUUGCACCUUAACAGAAACUUUGGACAUCAUUGUUCUAGAAUGACAGCUUGUUUAUUGCUGCUCCAGAGGUAGGACUCAAACUAAUGGAUUCAAAGAAAAGAGAUUCCAACUGAAGACUAAGAAGAACUUUCUGGCCGUAAGUGUUGUGCGAGAAUGGAGUGGAUUACUUAGGGAAGUGGUGGGCUCCCCCCUCACUUCAAACAAAGUGUAGGUGGACAUCUGUCAGGGAUUCUUUAGCAGGAGUUGGACUAGAUAACCCUUGGAACUCUACAUGAUUCUAUGACAUUCCACACUACCAUCCAACAUGAGACAAUUCCCAUAGGCAUGUUCCAUUUUUAAAUACAUGAGCCUAUUUGUCUGCAUGCAUAAUAGUCACCACCUAUGCAGAUACUCUCUCCAGAUUACAAUCUUCCAGUGCUGUGGCCCUCUAAAAGCAAUCUGCAUGCAUUAUUCAUUCCUACAAUACUUUUGAGCAUGUACAUAUUCAUGAACAUAACUCGCGGGAGUCUUCUUCUGUCUGAAAAAGUUAAUUCAAGAAGCAGCCAUGAGUUGACAAAGUCGCCUUGGUAGUAUUUAUGUGUUUUCAGACUUCAGCACUUAACCAGUAUUUGUUAAACAGAUUCUCCACACAGAUACCCACCCACCCAAAAUGUGUGGGGCGGAUAAUAAUGCUAUCAUUUUCAUUGCCAGGGGAAAACACUGCUCCUGCGCUGGCCAAGAGCCAAUCUAUCCAAAAUCCCCCCCCUUCUUCCUCAUCUCUUUCCUGCCAGGAUAUGGCAGGAACAAAUGCUGGUGUAAGAAACCUAGUGGAAAUUGAAUCUAUAUUUAUAUAUAUUUAUGUAUUCCUGCAUUGCAGAAGGUUGGAUAAGAUAAGCAGCAGGGUCCUUCCCAGCUCUACAGUUCUGUGAUUCUAUCCUAUAUGGGGUGGAGAGGAUCUGGAAUUCUAAAAGUCGGAGCAAAAUCUAUGUGACUGGACAUAUUCUCAAUCUCUUGUUAUUCUUGUUCAUGAUGUUUUGACUCAAUUUGGUGACUAUUAACUCUAUGAAUGCAGGGGCAUGUAGAGAGCCCUGUGGUUUUCCGAUGUAUGUGUAAAUGAAAGAGGAAAUAAUAAUAAUAAUAAUAAUAAUAAUAAUAAUAAUAAUAAUAAUAAUUUAUUUGUACCCCGCCCAUCUGGCUGGGUUUCUCCAGCCACUCUGGGCGGCUUCCAACAAAGAUUAAAAAUACAUUAAAAUGUCACACAUUAAAAACUUCCCUGAACAGGGCUGCCUUCAGAUGUCUUCUGAAUGUCAGGUAGUUGUUUAUCUCUUUGACAUCUGGUGGGAGGGCGUUCCACAGGGCGGGCGCCACUACCGAGAAGGCCCUCUGCUUGGUUCCCUGUAGCUUUGCUUCUCGCAAUGAGGGAACCACCAGAAAGCCCUUGGCGCUGGACCUCAGCAUCCGGGCAGAACGAUGGGGGUGGAGACACAGUAAAUGUGUAUAUGAAAGUGUGCAUUGCACUAAAUGUGUAGGUAAAUGUAUAUGAAUUAGAAUAAGAAUCAGCUUGGCUUAGUGGUUAGAGUGUUGGACUAGGGCUUGGGAGACCAUGGUUCAAAUCCCUGCUCAUCCAUGGAACACACUGGGUGACUUUAGGCCACUCACAGUCUCUCAGCCUUGCCUACCUCACAGGGUUGUUUUGAUGAUAAAUUUGAGAUGAAGAGAACUAUGUAUGCCACCAUCAGAUCCUUGGAGUAAAGGUGGGAUGCAAAUGCAUCAUGCUAUUAGUUCUGUCCAGUAGUGGUGUAUGGAAGUGAGAGCUGGACCAUAAAGAAGGCUGAUCACCGAAGAAUUGAUGCUUUUGAAUUAUGGCGCUGGAGGAGAUUCUUGAGAAUUCCAUGGACUGCAAGAAGAUCAAACCUAUCCAUUCUGAAGGAAAUCAGCCUUGAGUGCUCACUGGAAGGACAGAUCCUGAAGCUGAGGCUCCAAUACUUUGGACACCUCAUGAGAAGAGAAGACUCCCUGGAAAAGACCCUGAUGUUGGGAAAGAUGGAGGGCACAAGGAGAUGGGGAUGACAGAGGAUGAGAUGGUUGGAUAGUGAUCUUGAAGCUACCAGCAUGAGUUUGACCAAACUGUGGGAGGCAGUGGAAGACAGGAGUGCCUGGCGUGCUCUGGUCCAUGGGGUCACGAAGAGUCCGACACGACUAAACAACUAAACAACAACAUUAGUUCUGUUCUGCAAGUAUAUGAGCAACCUGCUCCAUGUCUCCCCACCCUUCAUGAACCAUUUUGCAUUAAAGCUGUUUUCUUUAUGCAUCCUUGGCCACAAUACUUUUCAAGUCCCCCAGCCAAGGUGACAGACCAAGGUAAAGUAGAUGUAUCCAUUUUAAAUAAUCAGCCACUGUUGUGGAUCUCCAGACAUUUGCAGUUGGAUGUGUAUUUUAAAACCAGUUUACUCAAAACAAAAGAGAACACUCAGGCAUUGAUUGCCACUACUCUUUUGCCUCCUGAAGGCUUUCUAGAAUGUGUCAGCCUCAGGCAAAACUUGAAGGGCUCAGUUUUUUCUGGUGGGCAAGACAAAUAUGUCUCGGGACUCCUGCAAAACAAAAGCACAGCUUCAAACACUGUGUUACUUGGGAAGGGAAAAGGAAGGAUGAAAACACAGCAACACAGUUGUAGCCUGACACCAGCUUUUAUACCAUUUCACUGGAGUGGAGCCUGGUCCUUUGGGGCCAAUGGAGCACUGCCCUACCAACCUCAGCCUGACUUCAGCUAAUCCCCAUAUCAUACCCCACAAGCGUCUGAGGGGAAAAUAGGGACAUCACCAUUUCUUGCAUAAGAGCAUGACGGCCAUUUUGGGUACCGUGAUCUCAUGUGGUUACAUGCUGAUAUCUCACACCCAAAAAAGGAAUUUCUCCCCCAAAUAAAGCACUUUUUCGGGGGCAGCAAUUUUGUGUGGUGCCCCAAAACACAUUUUUGGGGAGCCAGGUGAACAUGGCCUGUAAAAGAGCACGUCUUUUAGGCUCCAUGAUCUUGUGCGGGUCAAGUGACUCGUGCAGGACAACUGGUGGGAAGGCGCACAUCCUAGUUUGGGGUCACAAGAUGUUGGAGGGUAUACCAUCUGCCUUUCUUCUUUUCACAAGCAGUCCUGAAGGUUGCCCUGGCUAUCAGUUUCCUCCUCUUAGUCUCAGUGUUUCCCUUGUAAAACUCAGCAGGAAGGAGGAUGGGGACAAAACUAGAAUUAGUUGGUUCUGGCUCCACCUACUGUUGGCCUCCCUGCUUUCUGUCCUACGAGUUUAAUGAACACUAUAAUGAUCAUUAUAGAAUGAUUUGUCAUUCUUUCUUCAUCUCUUUGCUAAAUGACCUCUCCAUAAUCAAUGCCAGAUGUUUCAGAGCUUCAGUUAUUGUGGAAUGUGACUUCUCAGCUGUUGACAGGUUUGAGGCAAUCAUACCAUAUAAUAAGAUCCAUAAUUGAGAAGAUCCAUUUGGGGGUGCCAAAUUUUGGCCUCGUCCAGGGUGCAUAUUAUAGAAGAUAUUAUAGAAGUCUGUCCAUGCAAAAAAGGGAAGGGAAACUUGGAACUGACUUUACUUAAUGAUACCAGGAGAGGCGCCAACUCCCUGGAUUGUGAACAGAGAUUUGUAGAGUGUGUAGGGUUACCAAGAAGAGAUGUUUAGAUCCAUCAUUUUGCAAAUUGAGAGCAGUCCUGAACUUUUUAGUUCAGGAAUAAGGGGCUCAGCAGGACCACUCAACUAAUUAUGAAGGGUCUUGAGGCUCUGAGGGUUCUCUCAGCUAGGAGGGUAUAUUCACCCAUGCACUUUCUAGAAGAGGUGAGGUCAAUUCUAACAUUUAGGGUGGUAAAAUUGUUUCUGAACUAUACAGCUUCAGAUUGAAGUUGUGGAGAUUCAUCUAUUUUAUUUUUUUCUUUAAGAAAAUAAAAGAACUCACCAUACAUACAUACAUACAUUUAAGUUACCAACACAUUUUGUAGAACAUGAAUUCAGCACUCAAAGUUCAACAGGCAAUGCACAAGAUGUUACUUCUGGUUUACAGCAUCUAGGCUUGCCAUAUGUCAAGAAAAUUCCUGACACAUCCUUGUUUUCGUACGUAAAAAUGGUGUCUGGGGGAUUUUGCCAAACUGGCAAAAUGUCAGGGAAAACCCGGAUGUAUGGCAACGCAAUGGAAAAAGCAGGAUAAACAGCUCCAAAGACUUAAAACCACUAUUUUGGGGUCUCCCCCCAAAAGCUCAAUAAUUAAAAAAGUUGAAAUAUGGCAACCCAACAGAAUCUCAUGUGCAUAUGUUGCUGCUGCACUUUUAGAAGCAUGCAUUAUCAGUGCCUUUCUGAUCCAGUUUUAAACUUUUGCUGGGAACCUUUUAUUUAUUUUAUUUUUACGAGCUCCUUUUAAAUCUUCUGUGGCUUCAGUGCAAGGAACGAUUCAUUCCCCCACCACCUCCGGUCAGAAGUGGUACUCUGCCAUCUCAGCUGCUAUGCAGCUGCCUGGUUGAGUGUACAUACCUUCAGGGAGUCGUGUUCAUGCGUUCCAAAAAAAGAUGAUGCACCACGGGGACGAAUGGACUGUGCAUCAUUAAUGGACCUGCUUUCAUUUCGACUAUUAAUUACAGGAUGUUAUUCAUUUCUGAUGGUAAGUGGGGGGUGGGGAGGACAAGUGGAGCUUUGGAACUUCAAGGGGACCCAUGAAGGUCAAGCGCAGGAGGACAGGAGGGGAAACAGCUGGCAUUUGCUAUGGAGCCCAUAGAACAGAUUGGCAGGAAUCUAGCAGGGCCCCAGCCAAGAAGCAGCUGGGCCUCUUCUUCGGCAGGUCCUGUAAUUGCACAUUAUAAGUUUAUUGGUCCUCAGUUUCAUAUUGUGGGCAUAAUAUAAAGCAGAGAGAAGUGCGCUCACCACCGUAAUAUUAAAUAUUAAGAUGCUAGCCAUUUUGAUUCCUUGAAAAAUGGAAGACAAUCUGCAUUUAAAUUGCUUCAUCAAAAUUAUGGGGUUCCUGUUCUCUGCCUGGUGGGAGGGCAGCUGCCCCACUAAAAUGAAAAAGGAAAACCCUUUUUAAAUGUAAAAGCUGUUCUUAUGAUCUGGGCUGAAAUCUGGUAUAUUUACUUUUUUCUGAAUAACUGUUUCUUUGCCCAGUCGUUUAAGACAGGAAUGGGGAGCCUGUGGAAACCCAGGUGUUGUUGGACUCUAAAUUUCUCAUAAGCCACGGUUAGGGGUGGGUGGAUUUCUCCAUCACAAUUUCCCUCUGUUUCUUAUUUUUCCAAUGCUUUUCUCAACAUUUCUGCAUGAGGUCACCAACUUUUUUGUUUGAGAAAAUUCACCAGCAUUUUCAUGCUAAUUUCUCCUAAUAUGCUUCUCUUUGUGUGCAAUUUUUCCUAAUAUAAUGCACUCGGUGGCUUGUAUCCAAGGUCAGCCAUUCUCAGAGGAGACCUGUUGAAAUCAAUAGACACGCCUAACUCAGAUCCAUAAACGUUAAUAGGUUGAGUUGCCUGCAGCCCUGUGUUAAUUUCACAGAUAUAUGCAUAUUUAUGCACAGCCCCCCAAAACAUACACAUUUUUGUUCUCAUCAUUUGGUUGGAGAACUGUAUUGCAAAAUUCAGAAAAGUGUGAAUUUCAAAGGCGAGGCUGUGCUUUGGUUCAUAUACGGUUUUGGAAAGUGUGCAGAAGAUAGGUAAAGGUAAAUGGACCCCUGACCAUUAGGUCCAGUCGUGGACGACUCUGGGGUUGCGGCGCUCAUCUCGCUUUAGUGGCCGAGGGAGCCAGUGUACAGCUUCCAAGUCAUGUGGCCAGCAUGACUAAGCCACUUCUGGUGAACCAGAGCAGCGCACGGAAACACUGUUUACCUUCCCACUGGAGCAGUACCUAUUUAUCUGCUUGCACUUUGACGUGCUUUCGAACUGCUAGGUUGGCAGGAGCAGGGACCGAGCAAUGGGAGCUCACCCCGUCGCGGGGAUUCGAACCGCUGACCUUCUGAUUGGCAAGCCCUAGGCUCAGUGGUUUACACCACAGAGCCACCCACAUCCCUUAGGCUCACUUAUCUAUGAGUAAAUGCCACUGAACCCGUUGGGGCUUAUUAUGAUUCUGAGCAGAGAUGUAUAAUAGGUUUGGGCUUUAUUUGGCUUUCCAGACCUUCUUGAUUUGGCUUUCCAGACCAGCCCCAUCUGGCAAACCAGAGCAGCGCACGGAAAUGCCAUUUACCUUCCCACCGGAGAGGUACCUAUUUAUCUACUUGCACUUUGACGUGCUUUCGAACUGCUAGAUUGGCAGGAGCAGGGACUGAGCAACGGGAGCUCACCCUGUUGCGCGGAUUCGAACCACUGACCUUCUGAUCGGCAAGUCCUGGGCUCUGUGGUUUAACCCACAGUGCCACCUGCGUCCCAGCAGAAGUGUACCGGACCUCAUUUACUUCACACCUUGCUCCGCCUCUGGGAUGAUAUACUUGCUUUUUGUGUGUCCUGAAUCCCUGGUUCAGUUUUGGAAUUCACUCCCACAGGAGUCAGUGGUGGUCAGCUUGGAAGGCUUAAAAAGUUGGACAAACUUGUGGAAACUAUCCAUGGCUACUAGCUAUGAUGGCUAUGGCUAUGGCUUUGAGGCCCAUAGAUUGCUUUCCAAAAGGCUGACAAUCAGCUGCUUUGGCCCACAGGGUUUGGUGGUGGAUAUACCUAACUGGACCAACAUCCAGAUCCAGUUCCUCGCCUGGAUCUGUAAGAUUGCACUGUAAGUUCAACCCCUUGAGAGAAUGCACAGAUUGUGUUAUUGAGAUAUUAUGUAAAUUUUACUGAUUUCUCUUAAUUCCGGUUCCCAUAUGCUGUUUUCUUUGAGUGCUGCAUUUAAAAUUUGCAGUCUACAAGAAGACAUACACCCUUCUUUUCAGAAUCUGUGCGGCUCAUACUCUUUUAUAUGGCAAUUUGUACAAGGAGCCCAUUGAGAGGCUGGUUCUUCUUUUAGUAGAAGACCCAGAAGACCCACUGAAAUUCUGAUAGCCUACUGUUUAAAAUGAUGACUUUCCCCCCAUUACUGAAAAGGUAACUAAUUUCUUUCUGCACGCCACACAAAUUAGGAGCAGAUGGCAAAGUAUGAUUCCCGCUUUGGCUUCUCUUGGAAUCUAUUGAUAUUCUUUCUGCAUCCAUUGCCUUGCACAUAUCAAAUUUCAUUCGUGUUUUGUAAAGAUGAGGGAUAAAUUUGUUUCCAUUCACAUUUAAAUGUGAACUUACCUAAUUCACACAUUCCAAAGCAAUAUGCAAAUCAAAGCACAGCCCAUCUUUCAAAAUUUACACUUCCUUGAAUAUUACAAUGUAACUUUACAGCAAAGCAUCACGUACAAAUAUGCAUAAACCAAAGUGAUGUGCGCAUAUAAAUGCAUAUAGUAGUGAGCAUAACAUACAAAAGCAUGUUAUGAUAUGAAAACAAUGUUGCAAAAAUAUGUAUGUUAGGCAAAAUUGCACCUCCAGACUGGAUUAUUGUAACUCGCUCUACGUGGGGCUGCCCUUGAGACUGACCCAGAAACUCCAGCGGGUUCAGAAGGCUGCGGCGAGACUCCUUAUGGGGUCCUCGCCAUGGGAUCACAUUCACCCGGUGCUAUACCAGCUGCAGUGGCUCCCGGUGGAGUACAGGAUCAGGUUUAAGGUGCUGGUUUUAACCUUCAAAGCCCUUUACGGCCUAGGACCCUCGUACCUAUGGGACCGCCUCUCCUGGUAUGCCCCACAGAGAAACUUACGGUCUUCAAAUAAAAACAUCUUGAAGGUCCCAGGCCACAGAGAAGUUAGGCUGGCCUCAACUAGAGCCAGGGCUUUUCGGCUGUGGCUCUGAUCUGGUGGAACGCUCUGUCACAAGAGACCAGGGCCCUGCGGGACUUGACAUCUUUCCGCAGGGCCUGCAAGACAGAGCUGUUCCACCAGGCCUUUGGCCAGGGCACAGCCUGACUCCCUCCCUCGGCAAUCUUCGCGGAGCUCUGGCCCAACGGUUGCCAGUGGCUUGAAUUAAUUAAUUUUAUAAUGAAUGAUUUUAGAGUGUUGUUUGUGCUGUACGUUUGUACUGUUUUAUUGUUGUUAGCCUCCCUGAGCCCGGCUUCGGCUGGGGAGGGCGGGAUAUAAAUAAAUUUUAUUAUUAUUAUUAUUAUUAUUAUUAUUAUUAUUAUUAUUAUUAUUUAAGAUGUGUAUUUAGGAGAAAUUCACACUAAAAGGUGAAUUUUCAUAGGUCAAUUUCAAAGAUUCAUAGAAUAGUUGAGUUGGAAGAGAUCUGAAAGGGUCCAGCUCCAUGCAAUGCAGGAACUCAUGAGCAGCCUAAUUUUAUAAGGAAACUUUGGAGUAGCAGAAAAUAAACUGCUGGGUUGCUGACUGGGGCAAGACAGUUUGAGCAUGUAACACCAAUUCUGGCCCACCCAACUGCAAUGGCUGCCAGUUAGUUUCCAGGCCCAAUCCAAAGUGUUGGUUUUGGCCUAUUAAGCCUUAAAUGGCUCUGGACCACAAUACCUCAAUUACCCCCGCCCCCCCCCAUCUGCACCCUUCAGUCAUCAUCUGAGGCCCUUCUUCUUGUGCCUCUUCCAUGAGAGGUCCAGAGGCCAGCAAUAUAAGAGUGGGCCUUUUCUGCGGUGGCUCCUUGUUUGUGGAAUGCUCUCCCAAGGGAGGCUCAUGUGGCGCCUUUGAUACAUAUCUUUAGGAGCAAGGCAAAAACAUCUCUCUUCUCAGAGGCCUUUGGCUAAUUAAACAAUCUGUGGCAUUUUAAACCGUGCAUGCUGGUGUGGUUAUUCUUUUUGUACAUUAUGCUGGUAUGUAUUUUUGUGUUCUUAUAUUGUAAACUGUCCCGUGUUCUUCAGAUGAAGGGCAGUAUAGAAAUUUAAAUAAUCAUAAUAAUUUCAAAACAUGGGAACAAAUGUGGGUCAAGCAGGUUUCUGGAAGAUCCCGCACUGCUGUCAGGUUCCCGAUUUCAUUUAGCAACUGCCUGACCCUUAGAAUGGAGACCCACUUUUAUUCACCAAGAAUCACAGAUUUAAAUAUUUGAAAGCAUUUUCGCAGUUUUGAAAUACACAGCAUACUUUUGCCUGGUCACAAAGGGAUGGGGAGGGGAGAAUCAUAUGUGAACCUACCAGUCUCUGAGGUAUUACAGUAUACCUGUUUGGGAUAGAGUGAAAUGAAUUUUCCACGAGGCCACGUAAUGUCGAUGUGUGUAUAAUAAAGAUAAAACAUUGCGAAGCAAGAUGAGGCGGCGCACCAAUCCCAGGAAAGGACACUCUGACAUUCUAAGCAGUGCUUCAUUGCUCAUAAAUGCAACUUGAAAAACAGUGGAAACUUUCCCAGGGAAAUUUGUGCAGGAAAUAUUGGUCUGGCCAAAAUAAAGGUGCGCAGUGGCUGAGCAGAGAGAGAAGGAAUAUGAUGAUUGUCAACAGUGACUAUGUAAUGUUUUCUGUUCUGCCCUCUUCUGUUUUCUUUUCUGCAGCAGUGUUUCUGAGCUGCAGUUUGACUUCUGCCAAAAAUGACAUUAUUCUGCUGUGGUGAAAUUAUGUUGUCAUCACAUUAUUCCACCCCAUUCAUUUCAGUACAAAGGAAAGGAACCACAAGGCAUAUGCGGGACAACAUGUCAUUUUUAGGACUGAAAGCAACAACAGUGACUGCAGAUCAUAUUCACAGGAUUGAUAUCUGUUCUGGACAUAGGAUGAUUAAGCAGGUGAGAGAGUUGGGUCUGGAGAAAAGCAGGCUGGGAGAUGAUUUGAUAGCCUUUCAUUCGGACACCUCUUGAGAUUCACCUGACUUAGCAGUGGAGUCAAGGUCCCAGUGGAUGCUAGCCGUUUUACCCUGAAAAUGCUUUGCAAACUAGUCACAGUGAGCUGCCAUUGGUUCUCCUUUGGUCCAGGCUGUAAAAAGCCUUGCACUACCCGGCAAAAGCUCUGCUGGAUGGCACAGUGAGAAUGCAAUGAGCCAGCAGAGUAUGCCUUCUUUGAUGCCUUUUCAGCCACAGUGUAGGCUUGGUGAUGAGCCCUCACCAGUGUUUAAUUGCAUUCAACUAGUUUUUCUCCACUUGCAUUUGAGACAUCUCCCAGCUUUCUUCCUCGCCCUAAACUCUGGAGUAUACCAGGGAGCCAAGUGGGAUCCAUGAAGCGGGAGAGGGCACUCAGGGCCGACCAUGUCAAUGGCCCAAGCCAUUUGGAUAUUCCAGAUAUCAGCCAGGGCUUCGACAGGAGGGCUGAUCAUAUCAGCCAGAAAAUCCCCCUUAGCCAUCUGGAAACCCAUUGCAUCCAUCAGCCUCUGAGUGUGGACCACCUCUGCAGAGUGGAAAAGGGGCUGAAAGCCUAAAUCUCAACAAAAAGUGUUCUGUCCAUGACAAGAGGCUGGUGUCAAUAUCCCCUACCAAUUAUUUCUACUUUUAUUCCCAUCAUCCUUUCUUUUGAUUUCUAAAAAUGCAACACUGAGGCUAAGGAGGAGGAGCCUGACAGCCAGAGACACCACCUGGAUUGGAUAAAAGUGGGGGGUGACUGAGGGCAUGCUGAAGUGGCGGGGGGAGGGGUUCCUAUUUGCCACUGCUUGUGAGUCUUGUGAAAGAGCUAGGUAGGGUUAGCCUGUGAGACAAACUACCAAACAUGCAUUGCUAAAGUACCUGUUUGGUUCACACUAGUCACGGUCAAGUGCAUUUUCAGUGCAUAUGGUCAAGUGCAUUUUGGAAUAUUACACUGUCUUCCAAGACACUUAGAAUCAUAGGAACAUGAAAGUUUAGAGGUACCACUGAAGGUCAUCUCAUCCAACCCCCUGCUCAAUGCAGGAUGCAACCACAGCACAUCUGACAGAUGGCUACCUAUGGCACAUCUGCACCACACAUUUGAAGCACUCUUAUGCCUUCUAUUUGGAGUCUGGGUUUUCCAAAACCUACCCUGAAGUACUGCUCUUUGUAAAACAACAACAACAAUCUUUAUUAUGGUCCAGAGACCCAACAAAUCGUUACAAAGCAAUACACAAUUCAUAAAGCCUACCUCCAGGUUAAACAAGCAUUUUGUUCAGAAUAUAGGGAUCACUGGUUCUUGCAACCACCGAUAAAACUUUGCCACUGCUAAUAUUCUAGCAUUUGUCUGGUCUUCCAAUAGGAACCUGACAUAGUGAGCCUCUGAUUUUCCCGGGAAAGGUACCAGCAAGGGUAGUAUCAGUUCAGCCCUGGCUUGCUCAUAUUUUGCACAGUGCAACAAAAUAUGUUUUAUGGAAUCGAUGUCUUGAGCACACGAGCAAAGUGUGUCCUGGUAGGGAACUCCUUUCAACCUUCCAUCCAACACUGCAGAAGGAAAGACGUUUAGUCUGGCUUUGGUGAAAAGCCUUCGAUAGUUUGGUACUGUCAGGUUUUUAAUGUAAGAUGUUAACUUAAAGACAUGCCCAUAUUAUACCCCUACUGCCAGCAGACUACGGACUGCGUGUGAUUGAGAUCGCAAGUCACUGUGUGCAUUAUCCCAUAAUUUUUGCUUUAACAUCUUUUGGGCUCCUUCAUAACCCAGGUAAUACAGUUGGGGGGGUGACAGACCAAUGGAGGUGGCUUUUUUAGCCAUGGUUUUCUGCCAUUUGCUGACAAAUUCCUCAUUGGUCAGGUGUUGGUACAAACCCUUCCCUAGAUCAAACACUGAAAUCCUGAGUUAAUGUUUUAGGGCAGCCCACCAUGCUUUAGUUGAAACUGGGCAUUCACCAGCUUCUAACAGAAGUAUGGAGUUGGGGACACAGUUGGGUACCUGCAGCAGAGAUCGUAGAAAUUUUGCCUGAAAGCCAUCUAGCUUUGGCAGGUCCCCAUUAUGCCAGACAUUUGCUGCAUACAGGAGUUGGGAAACGGGUUUUGCGUUGAAAAACCUUAAGGCUGCUGGAACAUAUUUGCCGCCCUUUGUGAAAAAGAAUCUGAGUAUGGCUAGCUUUGUGAUCUCCGCCUUUUGAAGGGAGGUUUGCCAGUGGUGCUUCCAAGAUCCUGUAUGAUGGAAUGUGAGCCCUAGAUAACUGAAGUAUUUGAUCUGUUCAAGAUUAUGGCCAUCCAGUACCCAUUGUAAAACACUGAGGCCCCAUCUGCCUUAUACAUUUAAAGGAGAAGCAAACUACUUCAUGUCUUCACCCAGAGAAUAUUGGGAAUAGUUGUUAGUUUAAGGGUGCUGAGAAAUUCUAGGAGACCCCAUGCCCUGCACAGACGUGCAGUUCCCACAGUGUCCUGGGAAGAUGGAUUGGUUGGCAAACCACUCUGCAAUUUCCACCCACAAAUACUAGCUGUGCCCUUUGGCGCAAUGGAGAACAAACCUGCCCCGCUUUCUCUGUGGCAAGCCCUCCAGAUAUUGGGAGGCUGCUAUGUCUCCCCUUAAACUUCCCUUCUCUGGGCUCAGCCCUAUGACUGUCACCCUCCACCUGACAACAGCCUUGUGUUGUUCUUGUAUUAAUAACUUUCAGAAUCCAGGAUGUCCAUAAACGUAAGAUAAACUUUAUUAGCUAAUUACAGAGUGAAGAGUCUCUGUUUAAGGAAGUCAUAGCUUCUCUCUUGCUCAAUCAUUCCUUUAUCCAGAGGCCCCUUCCAGCCUCAUCUAGUUCCCUAAAACACAACCCACUUAAAGGGAUAUUGUUCUCACAAGCAUGGUAACCACAUCGCCCUCUGUUUGUGAGAAGAAAGCCAACAGAAGUGCUCAGCACAAAUGCUCUGCCACAGCAAAAUGCAGCCUUUUAAAAGCACUCUGAUAUUUCGCAGAUUAGAACCGUGACACUUUUAUCUACUUGCCACACUCCUAUUCUCACACCAAGGAUAACGGCUGAUCUUCCACGUCCUCCGCCCCCCGCCCCAACUCCAUUACACAUCGCCGAAGGCUCCUCUCCACCUGAUGGUAUCCAUUUACCCUGCAAUCAGCUGUCUUGAAAGCAAGAGAGCUUGCUCUUGUUAAAAACUACACACAAUCAUUCCAUGCUCUGUUAUCGACCAUUUGAAAUGAACCUUGCUAGCUGAAGCUUGUGGAGUGCUGCUGAUUUUGCUCUGCCCUUAGCAAUGAUGUGCAAGCAUUUACACAUUUGCAUGCUAGAGACCCCAAAAAGGGCAGUGCCAAAGAAUGCUCCAGCUACCACACAAUUGCGCUCAUUUCACCCGCUAGCAAAGUUAUGCUCAAAAUUCAACAAGGCAGGCUAAAGCAGUAUGUGGACCGAGGACUCCCAAAAGUACAAGCUGGAUUUCGAAGGGACAGAGGGACCAUCACCUCCUGGCAAACAGAAGGGGAAGAAAUGGAGAUGGUGACAGCAGAUGGUGACAGCAGUCAUGAAAUUAAAAGACUCCUGCUUUUGGGGAGAAAAGUGAUGAUAAACCUAGACAGCAUCUCAAAAAGCAGAGGCAUUACCUUGUUGACAAAGAUCCGUGAAUUUGAAUUUGACGAAACUGCAGGAGGCAGUGGAAGACAGGAGUGCCUGGUGUGCUCUGGUCCAUGGAGUCACGAAGAGUCGGACACGACUAAUCGACUAAACAGCAACAACAUACUGCACCAGAUGCACCCUGUCCUCUUCCUACAGAGAGAUUUUACUCUCUAGCAGGCAAGAGGGAGGGGGGAAGCCCUGACAAAUGGUACUCUCACAAUUUGUUUUUAUAUUUGCUUAUUUCAAUCUCUACCCUACCUAUCAAAUUCAGAAGGGUCUCCAAAGGGUCUCAGAUAAAAUGUCCAUGUUAUAGGGUGGGUUGAAGGGCCCAUUUGGGUGCCUUCCAAUUAUGUGGUUCUUGACUCUUAGAAGUUAUGUGCUUGGGCUUCCUAUUAGCACUGGUUAUCUGAUUGGGGUGUGUGGGUACCAUGUCUGGUGGGGAACACGUUGUGCUCCUUCUGGGGUAGUUUGUCCUACUUUGGUCCUCAACUUGCGCUCAGCUAUCACCUGUGGCUCCUAGAAGCUGUCAGUCUGUGGUGGUCACAACUUGGAAAUGGUUUCAACUGGCCGGCUAAACCAGGUGAGGGUAGCCAAUAGGUCUCAAACCCUCAGUGAGUUAGGGACUUCCCCUGCAUGCGAAGACAGGCUGUGGCAGAUUGAGUGUACUUCAACAGUGAUGAAGGUGGAUUCUGCACAUGCUGUAGAGAGAAAUGAGGGCCAGAUGGGGCUGGUCUGGAAAGCCAAAUCAAGAAGGUCUGGAAAGCCAAAUAAAGCCCAAACCUAUUAUACAUCUCUGCUCAGAAUCAUAAUAAGCCCCAACGGGUUCAGUGGCAUUUACUCAUAGGUAAGUGAGCCUAAGGGAUGUGGGUGGCUCUGUGGUGUAAACCACUGAGCCUAGGGCUUGGCGAUCAGAAGGUCAGCGGUUCGAAUCCCCGCGACGGGGUGAGCUCCCAUUGCUCGGUCCCUGCUCCUGCCAACCUAGCAGUUCGAAAGCACGUCAAAGUGCAAGCAGAUAAAUAGGUACCGCUCCAGUGGGAAGGUAAACGGCGUUUCCGUGCACUGCUCUGGUUCACCAGAAGCGGCUUAGUCAUGCUGGCCGCAUGACCUGGAAGCUGUACGCUGGCUCCCUCGGCCACUAAAGCGAGAUGAGCACCGCAACCCCAGAGUUGGCCACAACUGGACCUAAUGGUCAGGGGUCCCUUUACCUUUAAGUGAGCCUAAGGGAUGUGGGUGGCUCUGUGGUGUGAACCACUGAGCCUUGGGCUUGCUGAUCAAGCAAAAUUGACCAAGGCAAAAUUAGUGCGAGCCGUAUGCAAAGCGCCUCUUUCUGAGAGCAGCAAACAGCUCAGCUUCAUUUCAACAACUAAUCAACUGCAAAAAGCCAUUUAUGACUCCUACAACUUGGAUGGUUUUAAAAGGGGAGUAGAAAAACAGCCCACUGAGUCUUGGGCUUGCCGAUCGGAAGGUCGCAGUUCAAAUCCCCUCAAUGGGGUGAGCUCCCGUCGCUCUGUCCCAGCUCCUGCCAACCUAGCAGUUCAAAAGCACAUCAAAGUGCAAGUAGAUAAAUAGGUACCACUCCGGCAGGAAGGUAAACAGCAUUUCUCUGUGCUGCUCUGGUUUUGCCAGAAGCGGCUUAGUCAUACUGGCCACAUGACCCGGAAAAACUGUCUGCGGACAAACAUCGGCUCCCUCGGCCAGUAAAGCGAGAUGAAAGCCGCAACCCCAGUGUUGUUCACAACUGGACUUAACUAUCAGGGGUCCUUUAAGUGAGCCUAGGGUUGCAGUUUUAUCAAUUUUUUUAUCACAGCAUGUAAACCCAUUGCACUACAGUAAUGGGUAUCUAGCGUAACUUGGUGGAACAUCUGCAAAGGUUGCUUAUCCCUCAAAAUCCUCCACUAUGACACAAGCUUCCCCAUCCUCAUAAAAAAAAAAGUAUUGAGGCUGAGGAAGUACUUGAAAACUUGUGCUUGAAAGUACAACUGCUGUGAAGAAAGAAAGCACGAUCUGAAGCGGCUUCUUCCAGGUGACUGUGCUGGAAGUAAAAAAGCAGAGGCAUAAUUGCUACAUAAGGGACCACGGGGUGGAGAUUUACUGUAGGCAUCUUUGGACUUCAGGAGCAUACAAGAUGCCCUCAGCCAGGCCUCCUGUUAAACUAACAGGGCUUGCUGUGAAAUAAUUUACAAGAAGAACCACAUCUCAGCCUAUUAUGCUCCCAAACACCAUUGGUUGGGGGACUAAAGAUCUUUUCCUUUCACCGUACUUCUGAACUGCAUUAGAUUUAAAGAGACUUAUUUUCAGGGUUUUUCUCCACAUGAUUAGAAUAGUGCAAGGGGGAAAAAAGGGGUGCACUGGUCGCCCCCUUCCCUUAUGUCACAUUCCAAUGCCCCUCCCCACACUCCAUACAUCUUGGAGGACAAAUGUCUGCAAUGUGGAGCUCACAAUAAUCGCACAGACUUUCUGCACAACUUAUUUUAUUAUUACAUUGAUGCCCCAACUUUCUUCCAAGAAAGCCCAAGGUGUGUAUGAUUGGUUCCCUCACUCCCUGUUUUAUCCUCACAACAACCUCACUAGGGCAGUUAGGCUGAGAGACAGUGACUGGCUCAAGGUGGGUUUCCUGGCCAAGUGGGAAUUUGACCCCAGGUCCAACACUCUAAAGGGACGUGGGUGGCGCUGUGGGUUAAACCACAGAGCUUAGGACUUGCCGAUCAGAAGGUCGGCGGUUCGAAUCCCCGCGACAGAUUGAGCUUCCGUUGCUUGGUCCCUGCUCCUGCCAACCUAGCAGUUCAAAAGCAUGUCAAAGUUCAAGUAGAUAAAUAGGUACCACUCCGGCGGGAAGGUAAACGGUGUUUCCGUUCGCUGCUCUGGUUCACCAGAAGCGGCUUAGUCAUGCUGGCCACAUGACCCGGAAGCUGUACGCCGGCUCCCUUGGCCAAUAAAGCGAGAUGAGCGCUGCAACCCCAGAGUCGGUCACAACUGGACCUAAUGGUCAGGGGUCCCUUUACCUUUCCAACACUCUAAAUACUAUGCAAUGCUGCCCCAUAUUACAACAAUGAUCGAGCAAAACAACAAAAAAUAUCACCACUGUUUGGGACAGUGAAAUACUGGGGUGGGUGGGGGAAGCCUGUACAUCUCUGCUCUCUGGAACUUCAGGGAGCGAAUUAUGUGUAUACAAUUUAAGGUAGCAAAAUGAUCCAACAAGCAGAAUUCGUACCUUAUUUUAAUGCCCUAGUAGUUUUAACACCCUGCUCUCCUUAACUGCAGGGAGGAAACCAACACCUGAAUAAGGCUUAGGUGUCAAUAUCAGGUUUGGAUUGAAAAGUACUAAUGCGACUAAAGAACUAUGGCAAGAGAAACUGAUGGACUACGCAGAAUUGGCAAAACUGAC